rnacentral:rRNA from 1 species
AUUGAACGCUGGCGGCAGGCCUAACACAUGCAAUUCGAACGAGUGGCGGACGGGUGAGUAAUGUCUGGGAAACUGCCUGCUGGAGGGGGAUAACUACUGGAAACGGUAUCUAAUACCGCAUACCAUCGGAUGUGCCCAGAUGGGAUUAGCUCGUAGGUGGGGUAACGGCUCACCUAGGCUACGAUCCCUCGCUGGUCUGAGAGGAUGACCGGCAACACUGGAACUGAGACACGGUCCAGACUCCUACGGGAGGCAGCAGUGGGGAAUAUUGCACAAUGGGCGCAAGCCUGAUGCAGCCAUGCCGCGUGUAUGAAGAAGGCCUUCGGGUUGUAAAGUACUUUCAGCGGGGAGGCGUUACCCGCAGAAGAAGCACCGGCUAACUCCGUGCCAGCCGCCGCGGUAAUUC